UUAAGACCAUGCUGUUUGGCUUCAAUGCUACAUGUUAUUUUGACAUGUUAUGGAUAAUAUUGGAAUCUAUUUCAAUACAUUAGGACUGGGUGGUGUUUCGUCAAGCUGGUUUAGAGUGUGGAUUUCAGGGAAGAACAAAUAAGUUGGUUGAUGGAUGCUAUUCGUUUUGGCAGGGAGGCGUUUGCUCACUAUUAAAAAGAUUAAGUUUGGAUAUUGAUGAACAAUCAGUUCAACCUUAUGCUUGAGAAGGCUCUUCUUUUGAUGAUCUAUCAACUGAGGCUUAAGAAUGUUUUAUGCUGAAAUAAACACAAGAGCUCGACCUCUUACUUGGGUUUCUGUUAAGUGUGCUCAACAGCCGGGCAGUGCAGAAUGUGGGUAUUACGUGAUGAAGUUCAUGCAAGACAUAGUAAGGCAAAAGAGCAUUACAAUUACAGAUGUG